rnacentral:rRNA from 1 species
AAGGAAUAUUGCUCAAUGGGAGAAAUCCUGAAGCAGCAACGCCGCGUGGAGGAUGAAGGGUCUAUGACUUGUAAACUCCUGUAAAGAAGGAAAGAAUUCCCAUUAGAUGGGAGAUGAUGGUACUUCUGGAGUAAGCCCCGGCUAACUACGUGCCAGCAGCCGCGGUAAUACGUAGGGGGCAAGCGUUGUCCGGAUUUACUGGGUGUAAAGGGUGCUCAGGCGGAUUUGUAAGUCAGAGGUGAAAUCUUACAGCUUAACUGUGAAACUGCCUUUGAUACUGCAAGCCUAGAGUAUGGAAGAGAGUGAUGGAAUAUCUGGUGUAGCAGUGAAAUGCGUAGAUAUCAGAUAGAACACCAAUGGCGAAGGCAGUCACUUGGUCCAUUACUGACGCUAAAGCACGAAAGCGUGGGUAGCAAACA